rnacentral:rRNA from 1 species
GACGAACGCUGGCGGCGUGCUUAACACAUGCAAGUCGAACGGAAAGGCCCUGCUUGCAGGGUCCUCGAGUGGCGAACGGGUGAGUAACACGUGGGUGAUCUGCCCUGCACUUCGGGAUAAGCCUGGGAAACUGGGUCUAAUACCGGAUAGGAGCCAUUUUUAGUGUGAUGGUUGGAAAGUUUUUUCGGUGUAGGAUGAGCUCGCGGCCUAUCAGCUUGUUGGUGGGGUAAUGGCCUACCAAGGCGGCGACGGGUAGCCGGCCUGAGAGGGUGGACGGCCACAUUGGGACUGAGAUAAGGCCCAGACUCCUACGGGAGGUAGAAGUGGGGAAUAUUGCACAAUGGGCGCAAGCCUGAUGCAGCGACGCCGCGUGGGGGAUGACGGCCUUCGGGUUGUAAACUCCUUUCGCUAGGGACGAAGCUUUUUGUGACGGUACCUAGAUAAGAAGCACCGGCUAACUACGUG